rnacentral:pre_miRNA from 1 species
UGAUGAUGAUGAUGAUGAUGAUGAUGAUGAUAUUGAUGCUGUCAGGUAUUAAUCAUCAUCAUCAUCAUCAUUAUCAUCAUCAUUAUCAUCAUCAUCA